rnacentral:lncRNA from 1 species
GGAAACGGGGUGGGGGUGGGUUGCCGCGUCCGGCGGGGCCCGAUUCGGACGCAUCACCCCCUGGCGGCCGCGCGGGGAAGCGCAGGGCCGCGCGCCCCCUUGUGCGACAUGUGCUGCCGGCCCGGGCUCCAUGAGCGUGGCGGGCACUUUGCAGUCUCGGGGCUGGCUUCCCCGUUUUCUGUUCCCGACCCAGGGCAGUAGGGAGAGGAACCAGAGAAGGCAGUUAUCCACGUGGACCUAACACUGCAUCCGAAGCUUUCUAAGGAUACUUGCUGAGAAGUUUUCCUGAGUGGCCAGAAGAAAAGGAAAAUGUUUUGCCACGUGGAUGUGAAGAUUG